GCGGCAGGAGGAAGAGGAGGAACAAAAAAACCCCAAGAAAACCAACAGGAGGCACCGGCGCGCGCGUAGUAAAAGAAGGCUCGGGGCUCGCGUUGUUUCGAGAGAGGCCUGCCCUUUGCUCAGCAAAGUCUGCUUGCGCUUGUAUGGUCGCAGAAGUCAUUCGGCAUUGGCUCUCCGCUUUUGCCAGGCAUUAUUUUUCAUAUUUUGUUGGGAGCCGUCCAGAGUGGCUGGGGAAACCCAGCCAAAUGGGUGGGGGAUAAAUAAGUAAAUAUAUUAUUAUUAUUCCGAGCACAAUUCAAAUUGUUGGUGCUGACCUUUAAAGCCCUAAAGGGCCUCGGUCCAGUAUUCCGGAAGGAGUAUCUCCACCCCCAUCGUUCUGCCCGGACACUGAGGUCCAGCGCCGAGGGCCUUCUGGCGGUUCCCUCGCUGCGAGAAGCCAAGUUACAGGGAACCAGGCAGAGGGCCUUCUUGGUAGUGGCGCCCGCCCUGUGGAACGCCCUCCCACCAGAUGUCAAAGAGAAAAACAACUACCAGACUUUUAGAAGACAUCUGAAGGCAGCCCUGUUUAGGGAAGCUUUUAAUGUUUUAUAGACUAUUGUAUUUUAAUAUUCUGUUGGAAGCCGCUCAGAGUGGCUGGGGAAACCCAGCCAGAUGGGCAGGAUAUAAAUAAAUUAUUAUUAUUAUUAUUAUUAUUAUUACAGGCACGCUUUGGAGACAUCUCUGUAAUAGCUGCAUUAGGGAUCACCGCCUUCCACAUGUGCUGCGUCAGGAAGAUUUUGGGCAUCACAUAGUCUCUGGCAAAGAUGUGCUCUCCCAAACUCCCAGCAUGAUCGCACUCCUGUCUCGGCAACCAACGUCUGUGCUGGCUCGGCCAUGUCCACAGAAUGGAAGAUGGCACGAUCCCUAAGGAUGUGCUCCACGAGGAGCUGGCUUUGGGCACCAGGCCCAUCGGCAAACCAACUCUGCGCUACAGAUAUGUCUGCAGUUGUGGCAUGAAGGCUGACAACAUCAACCCUGGCCUGUGGGAACCGUUUGUGAAGGACCACAGCACCUGGAGACAGGCAGGUUGUGUACCCAUAGCAGUGAUCUGAGGAGAAAUGACGGCUGGGAGGAGCGCAGAGAGAAGAAAUGCCAUGAUGCAUCUGCAGCAGUGCACAGUCCAUCUGUCUGCAGCCUUCAUUUGCCCCAGCUGCAACAAAACAGGCCUCUCCCUUAUCAGUCUCUACAGCCGCAGCAGGCGCUGUAACUCUCCAGUGGUUUGACUUCACACCCAAUGUUGUGCUCCUCCAUGGCUCCCAAAAACCUGGUGCCUUGGGGAUCCUGCCAUCUUGCAUUCUGUGUACAUGACCAAGCCCUAAGAUUAUCGUGGUUUAAGCCUCCAUGGAUUCAAAAAUCUUUACUAGACCAUAGAGGCUUACGCCACAAUAAGUCUCCUUUGUUUCUGCAUUGAAACGGUCAUAGUGUCAACAGCUCCUGUAGAUAUCAUGACUAUUUUUUGUUUUAUGGAAUUUUAAUUGGAUUUGUUUAAAUGCUUGCAUUUAAAACUUUGCAGAUGCUGCCU